CCUGGUAGCCAUGCCGAGGAGGCCACACCCGUUCCCAUUCCGAACACGGUCGUUAAGCUCCUCAGGGUCGAUGGUACUUGCCCUUUCAGGGUUGGGAGAGUAGAACGCUGCCGGGU
rnacentral:rRNA from 3 species